AUGGUGUGUUCAUGAGUUUUUGUAUUAAUUAAAAUUUCUCAAUGGAAUACUUAAAGGCUUAGCGGAAAUUGAAUUGAGACCUUUGUCAAAGGUCUUUGAAAUCAUACGAUGAUGUUUCUUUUCUCUGGUAGGAAGACCGCCUUUGUGUGAUGGAGCAGACGUUGGGCUACCAUGACUCAGUGGCCUGCUCUGUGUCUCAGCGAUGCUAGAAGACUCACGUCUACACAAAAUGAAGCAUAUGGAAACACAGAUGAGAGGCAACAAACCAGAGUCACGUCCUAUUUCCUACGGACAGCACUUUCUGAAAGCCAGCAACAGGAAU
rnacentral:lncRNA from 1 species